UAAUACAGAGGGUGCAAGCGUUAAUCGGAGUUACUGGGCGUAAAGCGCGCGUAGGUGGUUUAAUAAGUUUCGUGUGAAAGCCUCGGGCUCAACCUGGGAACUGCACGGAAAACUGUUAAGCUAGAGUAUGGUAGAGGUCAGUGGAAUUUCCGGUGUAGCGGUGAAAUGCGUAGAUAUCGGAAGGAACACCAGUGGCGAAGGCGACUGACUGGGCCAAUACUGACACUGAGGCGCGAAAGCGUGGGUAGCGAACAGGAUUAGAUACCCUGGUAGUCCACGCUGUAAACGAUGAGGACUAGAUGUUGGGUGGCAUAGAACCACCUUGUAUCGCAGCUAACGCGUUAAGUUCUCCGCCUGGGGAAUACGGUCGCAAGAUUA
rnacentral:rRNA from 1 species